UCAAAGUUUGAUCCUUGCCUAUAUCUCUGUUAUAAGGACGACUUUACAUGAAAGUAGACGCGCGAGGAUUGCCCGAGUUAAAUAAAGUUAAGUGUGUAAGGCCUCAGUAUGUGGUUUUAGUCUUAAAUUAAAAUUUGAGCUAGUGAUCCUUUGGUUUCAGGCUAAAUUUGUGCCAGCAGCCGCGGUUAGACUAAAAGUAAAAACAGAGAAGAAAAGUAUGCGGUUAAAAGCAUUGGAGUCUAAAACAUGUUAGCGUCAUUAGUCUAAAAAGUGAAAUCUAAAUUUCUGCAGUGAUGCUAAGAUUUAAAGACUUGCUUUAACUCCUCCUAAGUUUGGGUGUAAACCAGGAUUAGAUACCCUGUUAUACCAAAAUGAAACUAACCUCGCUUGAGUAGUAACAAGUUAUGAGCUCGAAACUUAAAGGAUUUGGCGGUACUUAAGCCUAGUUAGAGGAACCUGCUCUUUAAACGAUAUGCCACGAACAAUCUUACUUUACCUCGUCAGUCAAUUUGUAUACCUCCAUUAUAAGCAAUAUUUUUAAACAGUUCCUAAAAUAAAAGCAUUCUAAGAUAUUAGGUCAAGGUGCAGUUAAUGGUAAAGUAGCUGUGGGUUACAGUGUAUUAUAGACAAGUGGACAAGGGUGGGAAGCAUGCCCUUCGAAAUUGGAUUUAAUUGUAUUCUUAGAAUAAUAAGCUAAGAUGAUAAUAGCUCUAAAGUAUGUACACAUCGCCCGUCGCUCUCAUUACAAGGUGAGAUAAGUCGUAACAUAGUGGUUGUAUUGGAAAAUGCAUCUAGAAGUAU
rnacentral:ncRNA from 1 species